UGAGAUGGCUCUCUCUUCUCUCUACCUUUGCCGUGGGAAGCUGGGAAGAAUGUCCAAGUUACAAGUUUCCAAUUUCCAAGUGUUCUUCAGGCAUGUUAUCAAUUAUCAAUAAAAGGCCAGAAAGGAGUGUUUAUGAGUUAUUCUUACGAAUUGUGCAUUUGGUGUCACUUGAUGUCAUAAUGGAAUGAGUAUCUCUUUGUCACAUCCUAAUGGAUGCUUAACCAUGGCUAUGCUCUGUUCAGCAAGGAACACCUGCUGUGUCUGCUGUCCCCAGCACUGUGUCCAGCUUCAGAAUGGUGACGGUGAAGAAGAUGGAGACAAGCAUAUGUUAAGCAUUUACUAUGAGCCAAGUGUUCCACUCAACGUUUUUCAUGGAUUAUUUCAUUCAAUCUAUAAAACAGCUCUCUAAGGUGAGACCUAUUAUUCCCCUAUAAGAACAAUGAAAAGGAAAUAGAGGUUAAAAUGGAUUCAAUAAAUUGCCUGAGAAUAAUCAGGGAAAGCUCAGUUACAGAGAAAGAUUCUUGAUGUGGAGGCAAGAUUUUUUUUUUUUUAAAGUAACUACAGAGAAGAGAGAGCAAACUUGAAGGUAUUAUUAAAGAUAAAGAAGGGACUGGAAUUAAUAUGAGAAAAAGAAAAAAAAUGGAAGCAAAGUCUGUGUAUAUAGGGAGGGGUGAAGGGGUUGAAGGGAGUUCAGGGGAAUGGGGAAAAAUAAGAACCAAG
rnacentral:lncRNA from 1 species